CGGGUGAGUAACACGUAUGCAACCUGCCUGCCACAGCCGGAUAAUCGGGAGAAAUUCCGUCUAAUACGGCAUAAUGCAUCGACGGGACAUCCUGUUGGUGCCAAAGGUUAAUUCCGGUGGCGGAUGGGCAUGCGUCGCAUUAGUUAGUUGGCGGUGUAACGGACCACCAAGACGACGAUGCGCAGGGGUUCUGAGAGGAAGGUCCCCCACACUGGUACUGAGACACGGACCAGACUCCUACGGAAGGCAGCAG
rnacentral:rRNA from 1 species